CCGUGACAUUUUAUCAAAACUUCUUGUGAUGGAAUAGUAUAUCAAAAGAUGAGUGAGCGAAAGUAUCGAUAUACAAGAAGAGUUAGAUAUAUUAAAGGGAAUACCACGAGGUGGCGUCUGAAGCGAUAGAAAAAGGAGCUGGACAGAGGUACCAUUACUUGCAAGUGGUGCUUUGAACACACUCGCGUCUUUCCGUUAAACCCGAUAUUUAUUGUGCCAGUCGCCUCUCUCAUCGCUUUCAUUUAAAAAUAUUAUCGCUGACGGUGAAUGACAUCAGAAAGCAUCGGCAAAAACAUUUCGUUAUAAGAAACGUUUAACGUGCACACAUACCGGUCUGGCACCGAAAGAGUUAAUUAUGACAAAGAUGGUAUCCCGUGGGCAAGCGGACUUGUUUACUACCUGUCAGUCAUCGGCGUAUUAAAACCGGCGUCGUGACGGGCAACAACACCGUGGUAGAAAGAGAUGUGAGUUAAAGAACGGCACGGAAUCGGUAGUGGGCGUUAAUAUGAAGCCAGAAGUCGUUUUUCUUUCUCCCUUUCAUCGCGAGCCUAACACGAGAUAGUCGAACUGUCAGUCAAACGUUCGAUAACCAAUGGUCGACGAUCCCUACUACAGCACGCCGAGGAAGAAUCAUUUUCAUGCGAAGAGGGCGUAGCAAAAACUACAAGAGGCCACCGCUGCCGACGGCGCCGAUGCCUCACUGCUGCGCAACGCUCUACCUAUAGGGUGCUCGAUAAAAUUUCUGCGGGAAAUUCGAGUUUGUUUUACUACUUCUUUCGUGGCAUGUAUUUUACAGAAUCCUGUAAUUUAUAUGAGAAUAUUGCCAAAACAAAAUUCCUUAUUUGUAUAUUUAAUUUAAUACGAUAUAUAAAAUAAAGUUGAAAAUAUUUUUAUCGUU